UCUCCCUCACUCUUACACUUAUUCUCUUUCUCUCUCUCUCUCUCUGUCUCACACAUACACUGUCUCCCCCUCCCUCUCAAUCUAUCUCUCACUGUCAUUCAUUCUCCCUGUCUCCGUGCCCCUGUGUUUUAGCUGCACACUCCCGAUAUCGGAGGAAUGGGGACCACGAUGGAUGUUGUUCAGGCCGUAACCCAACUCAUCCAGAGCAGAGCGAGCCGACCCCAGCUGGCUUAAAGCCCAGUGCGGAGACGCCACAGCACCAGUGAGAUGCAGCAAGGCAGAGUUAGAAUCUUCAAACUAGACCGGGUGCCGUGUACGGCUGACCGCUUAGCCAUCCUCCAUCCUCCAUCCUCCAUCCUCUCGUCUGUUUCUGUGUCAGCGUCUGCCCUAAGGCUGUGCGGAGAAAUCUAUGUGCUAGCAUAACCCCACAGUGACGAGAACGCACAGAUACCGCUCACCUCUCUGGGAACUGUAUAUCAAAGCAAGCUACACGGCAAACAUUUCUCAAUAAAGAAAUAUUUCACUUCA